CCGUAAAACGAUGUCGACUUGGGAGGUUGUGCCCUUGAGGCGUGGCUUCCGGAGCCUACCCGCGUUAAGUCGACCGCCUGGGGAGUACGGCCGCAAGGUUAAAACUCAAAUGAAUUGACGGGGGCCCGCACAAGCGGUGGAGCAUGUGGUUUAAUUCGAUGCAACGCGAAGAACCUUACCUACUCUUGACAUCCAGAGAACUUUCCAGAGAUGGAUUGGUGCCUUCGGGAACUCUGAGACAGGUGCUGCAUGGCUGUCGUCAGCUCGUGUUGUGAAAUGUUGGGUUAAGUCCCGCAACGAGCGCAACCCUUAUCCUUUGUUGCCAGCGGUUAGGCCGGGAACUCAAAGGAGACUGCCAGUGAUAAACUGGAGGAAGGUGGGGAUGACGUCAAGUCAUCAUGGCCCUUACGAGUAGGGCUACACACGUGCUACAAUGGCGCAUACAAAGAGAAGCGACCUCGCGAGAGCAAGCGGACCUCAUAAAGUGCGUCGUAGUCCGGAUUGGAGUCUGCAACUCGACUCCAUGAAGUCGGAAUCGCUAGUAAUCGUAGAUCAGAAUGUACGGAAUGGCC
rnacentral:rRNA from 1 species